GAGGGUUACUAUUACUCACCGUGUACCUGCACCUUCCUUUGUCCUCACGCUGGUGUCACCUGCUGCAAUUCACGUAUAAAAAGAUGAGCUGAGAAUCUUUGUCCACCACAGGAGACAACAGGCGAGCAGAGAACACAAACCCAGAGCAGAGACGAGAAACUACAACUUCAUCAUCAUGAUCGCAAAGAUUUGUGUCGUCCUCCUUCUGUUUGUUGCCUCUGGCAACACACAGACAACCACAGCUGCUGCAG